GGCGGUCUACUUAUCGCGUUAGCUUCGCUACGCACGCCUUAAAGGCACACACAGCUAGUAGACAGCGUUUACGGUGUGGACUACCAGGGUAUCUAAUCCUGUUCGCUACCCACACUUUCGCACAUGAGCGUCAGUCUUUGGCCAGGGAGUCGCCUUCGCCACUGAUGUUCCUCCAGAUAUCUACGCAUUUCACCGCUACACCUGGAAUUCCACUCCCCUCUCCAAGACUCUAGUCUGCCAGUUCUAAAUGACCAUCCCAGGUUGAGCCCGGGGCUUUCACAUCUAGCUUAACAAACCGCCUGCGUGCGCUUUACGCCCAGUAAUUCCGAUUAACGCUCGCACCCUCCGUAUUACCGCGGCUGCUGGCACGGAGUUAGCCGGUGCUUCUUCUGUUGUUAACGUCACGGCUGGCAGGUAUUAACUACCAACUUUUCCUCACAACUGAAAGUGCUUUACAACCCGAAGG
rnacentral:rRNA from 1 species